CACCGCAGUGCUCGUGGAUGGGAAAUGACUAAUGACGUCAGUAUUUUUACACUCGUGGCCCACGCCUUGCGCAGGACCGACCCAAUUAACGCGCCAGGUAGCAGUUUCUUCAUUAAUAAACCUUCGGCUUUAGUGUGAACUCCUUGACAAGGAGGUGAAGAAAAGAUGGGCUGUUUGGCCACGGAAAGGGGAGAGAGCUGUGCCAGUUGUGAGUGUGCAGCAAAGGCAACGAGAAGGCGGUCAGUCAGGCAGGCAGCAGUGGGAGCGGGACUGGUUGGUGGAAUCCAUUGCAGAACCGCAACACAGAGGUGCGGAUACAGUACAGGCCCACGAAUGGGGCCGUUCCUCCUCCUGCCUUUGAAGCCCUGAUGGGUGGCCGAUGAUGGGGGGGGCCAAUGAACACCGAGAACUCAA